rnacentral:rRNA from 1 species
CUUACAAGCUGUGGAAGCACAUUUCUUGUGUGACCGCGUACUUUUUGUAGAACGGGCCAACGAGUUACGUUAAGUAGCAAGGUUAAGCACUUAAGGUGCGGAGCCGUAGCGAAAGCGAGUUUUAACUGAGCGUUCAGUUACUUGACGUAGACCCGAAACCGGGCGACCUACCCAUGAGCAGGAUGAAGCGAAAGUAAAAUUUCGUGGAGGUCCGAACCCACGAGCGUUGAAAAGCUCGGGGAUGACUUGUGGGUAGCGGUGAAAUUCCAAUCGAGCCCGGAGAUAGCUGGUUCUCCCCGAAAUAGCUUUAGGGCUAGCCUCAAGGUGAGAGAUACGGAGGUAGAGCACUGAAUGUCCUAGGGGGUAUUGCACCUACCGAAGACUAUCAAACUCCGAAUGCCGUCAUCUUAUACUUGGGAGUCAGACUGUGGGUGAUAAGAUUCAUAGUCGAAAGGGCAACAGCCCAGAUCGUCAGCUAAGGUCCCUAAAUGUAAGUUAAGUGGUAAAGGAUGUGGGAUUGCACAGACAACCAGGAUGUUGGCUUAGAAGCAGCCACUCAUUCAAAGAGUGCGUAAUAGCUCACUGGUCGAGUGAUCCUGCGCCGAAGAUUUCCGGGGCUAAAACUUACUACCGAAGCUACGGCAUCAGUAAUGAUGGGUAGGGGAGCUUCCCAUACGGGUUGAAGCAUGACCGUAAGGACAUGUGGACAGUAUGGGAGUGAGAAUGUUGGCAUGAGUAGCGAGAUGUGGGUGAGAAUCCCACAGGCCGUAAACCCAAGGUUUCCAGGGGAAGGUUCGUCCGCCCUGGGUUAGUCGGGACCUAAGCUGAGGCCGAAAGGCGUAGGUGAUGGACAACAGGUUGAUAUUCCUGUACUACCGAUAACCGUUUGAGAGAAGGGAUGACACAGUAGGAUAAGCUAAGCACACUGUUGGUUAUGUGUGCCCAAGCAUUGAGGCAGUCAAAGUAGGCAAAUCCGCUUUGAUAAUGCUGGGAUGUGAUGGGGAGCGAAAUUUAGUAGCGAAGUAGCUGAUUUCACACUGUCAAGAAAAGUCUCUAUCGAGGUUAAAGGUACCCGUACCGCAAACCGACACAGGUGGGUGAGGAGAGUAUCCUAAGGCCAGCGAGAGAACUGUUGUUAAGGAACUCGGCAAAAUGACCCCGUAACUUAGGGAUAAGGGGUGCCACCAUCAGGUGGCCGCAGAGAAUAGGCCCAAGCGACUGUUUACCAAAAACAUAGGUUUCUGCUAAGUCGCAAGACGAUGUAUAGGAGCUGACGCCUGCCCGGUGCUGGAAGGUUAAGGGGAUCUGUUAGAGCAAUCGAAGCAGUGAACUUAAGCCCCAGUAAACGGCGGCCGUAACUAUAACGGUCCUAAGGUAGCGAAAUUCCUUGUCGGGUAAGUUCCGACCCGCACGAAAGGCGUAACGAUUUGGGCACUGUCUCAACAACAGACUCGGUGAAAUUGUAAUUCCGGUGAAGAUGCCGGAUACCUGCGACAGGACGGAAAGACCCCAUGGAGCUUUACUGUAGCUUGACAUUGGGUCUUGGUACUACAUGUACAGGAUAGGUGGGAGGCUUUGAAACCAGGACGCCAGUUUUGGCGGAGCCAUCCUUGGGAUACCACCCUUGUAGUACUGGGACUCUAACCAUAGGCCAUGAAUCUGGUCUUGGGACACUGUCAGG